CCUUGCCCAAGUGAAAUUCUGCCCUUGGAAUAUCGAUCAACUUAUUUGUGUUCUGGAAGCAUCUCAAAAAAUGCUUUCUAUUGAGACCCCAAGUAGCUCUUCCUUCUUUCUCAUGUUGGCUUAUCAAUUCAUUCAAAUCACCAAUUACCAACCAGGGCGUCCCAUCAUUCCAAUUUUUACUAUUCCAGGAAUCCCAAAACUUUUCCUUAUCAGCAAAAUAGGGUGGACCAUAAAGCCAAGUGAUCCUGAAGCGUGAUGAGCCAGUCUUGGUUACCACAGUAUCAACGAAAUGCAUUGAGUAAUCCAAGAUACUCACGGAAAAUUCAGAGAGAAAAACAAAAGCUGGGCUGUGGGAGCGGGUAACCUCCCUUAAGGUUUGUACUGUCAAUGGCUUCCCCAAGCCUUGACAGUUCCAGGAAAUGUAAUUCAUUGGUUCCUUGCAGCUGAAUUCGGCCAGCCGCCACAGCCCUGGAGGUGGGUUACGUCCUCCAUACCUUCUUCCACAAUAGCUACUGCCACAUGAGUAUUUUCAGCUGUGGGUGCUGGGUAGGACUCAUCGAGUAAACCAGAGAUAAACUCAGCCGACACCGGUAGACUUCCUCUCCCUUUUCCUUUUCCUCCUUUGUUCCCCCUGGUUCUUUUUCUUCCUCUGUUCUUUAUUUCGAACAAAGUGUCCUUCAUAUCAUUACCAGCAUUUGUUUUCAUAACCACCAACGAAGUCAAUGAUCUAGUCAAGGAGUUUACACCUUUCGACGAAAACACAAAGAAGACGAAGAAGUUUGCACCUUGCUGCCCAUGAAUUCUGGAAUGAAGGUGGUUUCAUGCAAAUGAUUGUAUAUGUUAAAUUUCAAGUGGCUCCUAAUUUGCUACAUAAUUUUCGGGUACCGUCGUUGGAUGCCUCUCAAUGUUGUUGAAUCAAUCAAUUCCUGAAUAUUUUAUUUCUUUGAUUCUCUUUACAAAAGAGAGAGAUGGGAAAGUUCAUGCAAUCAUAGGAUUAUUUUCGAAUCUUUUUUCCCCAUAGUAA